UUUGGAUAAAAAUCCAACUGAACUAGAAAUAGAAAAGAUUUCCUCCUAGCUCUUGGGAGAACUCUAAAGAACUAUUUCAUAGUUGCCUCUGGGUCUACAGGUCACAAGCUGAAAAUGCAGCUCUGUGACCAGGGAAAAGGACUUCAGCUGUUCCCUGCUGAUGACCAAUGAGCUUUGAAUGACGGUUGAUAUAACUUGGGUGACGAGGUUUCUGAAUUACAGCUUUCGUCUGGAUAUCUCAAGGCAGUGAACAGCUGCUGGGUGCAAGGUGCUCGCUGCCCUCUUCUGAACUUCACAGAAACCUCAAGAAGAGCGGACAGAGGAGAACAGAGGAUGGACUGACUGUUCCAUAAACAGAGAGGGCAGAAAAUGUCUCCUGUCUGAUGAAAUUUUUUUCAGUGGAAAGUGUAUAAUUUAAUCAAGAUGGAAAUGUUGCACAGGAA
rnacentral:lncRNA from 1 species